rnacentral:rRNA from 1 species
UACAGAGGUCUCAAGCGUUGUUCGGAUUCAUUGGGCGUAAAGGGUGCGUAGGUGGCGCCGUAAGUCAGGUGUGAAAUUUCGGAGCUUAACUCCGAAACUGCAUUUUGAUACUGCGGUGCUUGAGGACUGGAGAGGAGACUGGAAUUCACGGUGUAGCAGUGAAAAUGCGUAGAUAUCGUGAGGAAGACCAGUGGCGAAGGCGGGGUCUCUGGACAGUUCCUGACACUGAGGCACGAAGGCCCAGGGGGAGCAAAACGGGGAUUAGAAA